GGAGGUAGUGACAAUAAAUCACAAUGCGGAACUUUUAGUUUUGCAAUUGGAUUGAGAACAAUGUACAAAUGUUAUCGAUAAACAAUUGGAGGGCAAGUCUGGUGCCAGCAGCCGCGGUAAUUCCAGCUCCAAUAGCGUAUAUUAACGUUGUUGCAGUUAAAAAGCUCGUAGUUGAAAUGUGGGAUGAAGUAUAUAAUGAAUUUCUAAUUCAAUUAUAUAUUGAUUCCCCUCUCCAAUUUAUUAUUAUGGGUAUUAAUUUAUUUGUAAUAAGAAUUGGUCAUUUACUGUGAGAAAAUUAGAGUGUUCAAAGCAGGCAUUUGCUUGAAUAGAUUAGCAUGGAAUAAUACUAAAAGGCUUUUAUGGUCGAUUUAAUUGGUUUGUUCAUAAAAGCAAGAUUAAAAGGAACAGUUGGGGGUAUUCAUAUUCAAUAGUUAGAGGUGAAAUUCUCGGAUUUAUGGAAGAUGAACAAGUGCGAAAGCA
rnacentral:rRNA from 1 species